rnacentral:rRNA from 1 species
UAGGGAAUCUUCCACAAUGGGCGAGAGCCUGAUGGAGCAACGCCGCGUGUGUGAUGAAGGGUUUCGGCUCGUAAAACACUGUUGUAAGAGAAGAAUGACAUUGAGAGUAACUGUUCAAUGUGUGACGGUAUCUUACCAGAAAGGAACGGCUAAAUACGUGCCGG